AGUGAACGCUGGCGGUAGGCCUAACACAUGCAAGUCGAACGGCAGCACAGUAAGAGCUUGCUCUUACGGGUGGCGAGUGGCGGACGGGUGAGGAAUACAUCGGAAUCUACUUUUUCGUGGGGGAUAACGUAGGGAAACUUACGCUAAUACCGCAUACGACCUACGGGUGAAAGCAGGGGAUCUUCUGACCUUGCGCGAUUGAAUGAGCCGAUGUCGGAUUAGCUAGUUGGCGGGGUAAAGGCCCACCAAGGCGACGAUCCGUAGCUGGUCUGAGAGGAUGAUCAGCCACACUGGAACUGAGACACGGUCCAGACUCCUGCGGGAGGCAGCAGUGGGGAAUAUUGGACAAUGGGCGCAAGCCUGAUCCAGCCAUACCGCGUGGGUGAAGAAGGCCUUCGGGUUGUAAAGCCCUUUUGUUGGGAAAGAAAAGCAGCAGGUUAAUACCCCGCUGUUCUGACGGUACCCAAAGAAUAAGCACCGGCUAACUUCGUG
rnacentral:rRNA from 1 species